UUUUCUCGCGGAGCAGAAAUUUGUUUAUUGCGUUGAUUGUUUUGGUAAUCCGUGCUUCUUCAAAAAGGCACCAAAGAAGGAGAAAGCUCCACGACCAUCUUCAAAGCCAGCUAAAUCUGGUAGUGGAUUUCAGUUGGUUAGGUGGCUGCGAGAUCGGAAUGGGGAUGUAGUUGGAGAAGAGUUGGUGUUAUCGUUAA